GCCUACCUUUAAAUGUCGUACGAACGCCGAAAUAAAUAGCGUAUUUUACUAAUAUUAAAUAAAAGAUAUUGGUCGACACGUGCGUUUCUGUCCUAUCAAACGAUAGGAGAAAGACAGAGUGAGGUAGACGCGCACUAGUAAUAGUGGCGCAGGAG
ncrna:unclassified sequences lysM-TM7 RNA